rnacentral:rRNA from 1 species
UACGGGGGGGGGCAAGCGUUGUUCGGAAUUACUGGGCGUAAAGGGCUCGUAGGUGGCCAACUUAAGUCAGACGUGAAAUCCCCCGGCUUAACCGGGGAACUGCGUCUGAUACUGGAUGGCUUGAGUUCGGGAGAGGGAUGCGGAAUUCCAGGUGUAGCGGUGAAAUGCGUAGAUAUCAGGAGGAACACCAGUGGCGAAGGC